rnacentral:rRNA from 1 species
GACGCACGCUGGCGGCGUGCUUAACACAUGCAAGUCGAACGAAGUGGCAAACGGGUGAGUAACGCGUAAUCAACCUGCCCUUCAGAGGGGGACAACAGUUGGAAACGACUGCUCAUACCGCAUACUGAAGGAGGGGAUUGCGUCUGAUUAGCUAGUUGGAGGGUUAACGGCCCACCAAGGCGAUGCUCAGUAGCCGGUAUGGGAGGAUGAAAGGCCACAUUGGGACUGAGACACGGCCCAGACUCCUACGGGAGUCAGCAGUGGGGAAUCGUCCGCAAUGGACGAAAGCAUGACGGAGCAACGCCGCGUGAGUGAUGACGGCCUUCGGGUUGUAAAGCUCUGUUAAUCGGGACGCGGUACCGGAAUAGAAAGCCACGGCUAGCUACGUGCCAGCAGCCGCGGUAAUAC